AUAAAUGUCAUCUGCUAUUUUUGUGCCGCAGGAUCCACGUGGAGCUCUCCGUCUGUUCCUUGCGUGGAGCCUGGUAUACGUGUUUAUCGAAUGUUGCAUCGUUGGUUUCUAUUUCUACAAGUUCAUAGAGAAGUCUAAACAGCAUGAGCGUCUUCUCGACUUCACGAUAGGGGGCAACUCCUUCAUCUUCCUCUUUGUGUAUACGCCCUUCAAGCUGUGCUUGCUGUACAAUUUCUACCAGACGUAUAAAGCCUUGAACGAAAGCGCAUGAAUGGGGACCAUCGGACCUUCGCCUUCACUUGAAGAAAUCGUUUUAUAUUAAAUUCUGUUGGAUAUACUGUACGGUCUAGCAAAUAACAAUAAUAUGCCGUUUAUCAAGCGUA